rnacentral:lncRNA from 1 species
AGACAUGUUUACUAAUAAAAAACUAGGAUUUUAGUAUUAUCUUUUUCAUAUUCAUGUGAAACUAAAAUAGUUCAAAAAAUAAUUAAAAUGUAUACGAUGUAAUAGUAGAGCUACACAAACACAUUACUUUUCCUCAAGUCAAGAAAUCAACAAAUCUGUAAAUAAUGAACCAUAAUCAUCCUCUAACACCAUAAGGAUUGAGACUUGCACCGUUGAGAAUCACAGUCUGACAAAGAGAUCCUUAGGAAGAAAAUUCAUCCAAAAUAGAAAACUUAGGUAGAAGAGAGAGGGCUCAGACGGUUAAAGAAAGAGGUAGCUAAGUGGAAAGCUUUGUUGUACCGAUCAAUACCAUAUCAUACCAAGCAUACUGUACUAAACUGAUAUACAGUCUCAUAUCAUACCGACACUCCGUACGCCUCGCCAUCUCGUAUUAUACAGUAUACUGAUACUGUAAUAGAAUGGUACCAGACAGUCCGGAGUCCAGUACCAAGACGGCGAACCUUGAGUUGGAUAGUAAUAGUUGUGAUUUUCUAAAAUUGUCAACUGAUUAUGAUAU